GUGAACCACUUUUGGAGAACCUUGAGCUAGUGAUGUUUAAACAGAGUUUGGCUUUAUUCAAUGGAACAGUGAAACUCUUUAGACCAAUUUGGUUUAUUGUACUUUAGAAUACUGACUGCGAAGAGUUUAAGAAAAAAUCUCUAUUCUUCAAUAUCACUUACUUUGGAAUUUGGGAAAAGUCACCUCUAGCUUCAUUAGAUACAUUUCUCAGUCUGGAAGAGAAAAUUCCGCAUCAUCCUGCCUCAUUUGAAAAUAGGUCUGUUUCAUGGGAAACGGUCCAUGUAGGAGCCUGGAAAAUGUGCAAAUUUUGCCUUCUUCAUUCUUGUGCUGAAAUAUCUAUAGUCCUAUCCUCUUCUCUGGUCCAUGGGAUACCUUUGCAACUGCUCUUAAAAUUUCAGGCAACCUCUGUACCUUUCUUAGAAGAGAGACCCUAAAGUAUUUCUUUACAUUCAAUUGCUUGGAACAGCAUAUAUUUGAGAGGUCAAAGUAGAAAGAGAAUAGUAAGCUAUUUCACUUCCUCAGUUCUUAGAUCUUCUCUGAGCCAUUUCUCUUUUACUCUGAUCAUUCAAAGAAUUCCAUGAUAUUGCUUUAC
rnacentral:lncRNA from 1 species